UGAGGAAUAUUGGACAAUGGGCGCAAGCCUGAUCCAGCCAUGCCGCGUGCAGGAUGACGGUCCUAUGGAUUGUAAACUGCUUUUGUACAGGAAGAAACAGUUCUACGUGUAGAACCUUGACGGUACUGUAAGAAUAAGGAUCGGCUAACUCCGUGCCAGCAGCCGCGGUAAUACGGAGGAUCCAAGCGUUAUCCGGAAUCAUUGGGUUUAAAGGGUCCGUAGGCGGUUAGAUAAGUCAGUGGUGAAAGCCCAUCGCUCAACGGUGGAACGGCCAUUGAUACUGUCUGACUUGAAUUAUUAGGAAGUAACUAGAAUAUGUAGUGUAGCGGUGAAAUGCUUAGAGAUUACAUGGAAUACCAAUUGCGAAGGCAGGUUACUACUAAUGGAUUGACGCUGAGGCACGAAAGCAUGGGGAGCAAACAGGAUUAGAUACCCACGUAGUCCCUGAGCGGGCUGGCAAGGCGCAU
rnacentral:rRNA from 1 species